AUUGAACGCUGGCGGCAGGCUUGACACAUGCAAGUCGAGCGGAGCGAGGGUGCUUGCACCUUAGCUUAGCGGCGGACGGGUGAGUAAUGCUUAGGAAUCUGCCUAUUAGUGGGGGACAACAUUCCGAAAGGAAUGCUAAUACCGCAUACGCCCUACGGGGGAAAGCAGGGGAUCUUCGGACCUUGCGCUAAUAGAUGAGCCUAAGUCGGAUUAGCUAGUUGGUGGGGUAAAGGCCUACCAAGGCGACGAUCUGUAGCGGGUCUGAGAGGAUGAUCCGCCACACUGGGACUGGGACACGGCCCAGAGUCCUACGGGAGGCAGCAGUGGGGAAUAUUGGACAAUGGGCGGAAGCCUGAUCCAGCCAUGCCGCGUGUGUGAAGAAGGCCUUUUGGUUGUAAAGCACUUUAAGCGAGGAGGAGGCUACUUAGAUUAAUACUCUGGGAUAGUGGACGUUACUCGCAGAAUAAGCACCGGCUAACUCUGUGCCAGCCGCCGCCGUAA
rnacentral:rRNA from 1 species